GAUAAAAACAGUAAAUUUUUAUAAUCAAUAUAAUUAUUGACGUCAAUCAACGUCAAUUAUUAGAUUAUAUGAAAUUUCAGUGAAAUAUUCCAAUAGGUGGGCUUUUUCGACAUUUAGGCCCAAAAAUAAAUAAUACAUAUUAUUGUCGUUUCACGUGAAUGGAAAUGAAACAUGAACCGGUGACCGAAUGGCAUUGUCGUGUGUGUCGUGUGUAAAUGUUAAAAUGCACGCAAGAUUUCGUUUUGGUUUGCCGGUGUAAUCGCGCCUUUAUCAAAUGAAUAUGUAAGUGGCCUUCGCGGAAAACUCGAACUGCACACUGGAAUGAAGAAAUCGACGAACUGAAAAUUUAUAUGUGCGAUUAUACAAAAGUGCGAAUGUUAAACGGCCAUAAUAUUAAAUAACUUUACUAGUGGAGUAACAUACAAGGUCGUAUGAUAUUUAUUCGAAUAGAAUUUUAAGGUUAUGAUAGCCGCGGAUAAAUCCAUGAAAACUUAUCAUAUGCCCAAAGGGCCGACAUGAAGAAUAUCACAAAGCGUAUUGUAAGUCCGUCCGGAUGCGCCCAGCAUGUUUGAACAACACACGAUGAACUCGCUGGCGUCUCGAGAUGAAGAUCUCUCGGCGGCGCGCAAUAAAACCGGUUAUUGUGAAAAUAAAAAGGACAUCGCGCCGAAAUGGAUUCGACGCCGAAUUGACGGAUAUUGUAAAAGUGCGCCGGAUUUAAGUCCGGCCCGCAUGAUGUCCAAAUUGAAGUUUCGAGAAAGUGCGCGCCGAACAUCCCGAACGUCCGAGCGGCGCGGAAACGACGUUACCCGUAAUCCUUCUUUACAAAUCUAGAUUACGCCCGCUACUUGACAGUGUCGUCGCGCCCGACUGGAUGAACAUCUAGAUUUCACAGGAUUCGGGACGGAACAUGCGCUGGGAUUUUCGGCAAAGACAGUUUGCGGAUGUUGCGGACGAGUUGAGUAAAGGAAUUUACAACACAUCAGUUGUAAAUCGCAUUAUUUAAAAACUUUCAAACGUCAAACACGAAAAAAAUAUUUGCAGUA